GUUCUCCAGCAUCACCUACUUACGGAUUGAGAGCAUGUUGUUCAACCUUUACAUCCUCUGUGAAGAUACCGAGUCAGACCAGGUGUUCUUGAGAGUUCUUGCAGCAUUAACCAUCCAGCACAGUUCUCACCCAGGCACACAGAUGUCAUAAGGGUUAGGUGGCACCAGCCUCACAUCAAAUAGUCCCUUAAGUACAUGCACCAGAGUUGAACAAUCUUUAUAAACACAGGAUGGAAAAGGUCCAGAGAGGAGAGAGAAGAAGCUGGAAUACUUUCCCUCAAUCAUCUUUGCUCUGUGUGUGAUCUGGCACAGCUCAAGACAGUAACUUCAGUUCUGAAUACUGAUAGCACUGUAUAAGGGAAGUGUAAUACCAUCUACAGAUGAGGAAGCACAGCUGACUGUCUUCACGUCCCCCAGAUCACAGGUCCACACAGAACCCUUUUGACAGAAUUCAAGGGAGGCAGAAAUUUCAACCACUGAAAAACCAAACCAAACCAAAAUCCAAAACAUGGGUUCCACCCUAGCCAGCCACCUUCAAGAACCACAGGUCUUCAUAAACUAUUUCUGGCUAAUGAGGACUGUGUUUACAGCUGAGUGGCAAGAUCUACUAAUGAGUUGUGAAAUUGUGGGAAGCCGCAAACUCCAUUACAAGGUGGCGCUGGCUACCACUGGCCACCGCCCAUGAUUAUGGAUAAACAACCAAUGUGUGCAUG
rnacentral:lncRNA from 1 species